rnacentral:misc_RNA from 1 species
GAUGAAGAACGUAGCGAAAUGCGAUAAGUAAUGCGAAUUGCAGAAUUCAGUGAAUCAUCGAAUCUUUGAACGCACAUUGCACCUCUCGGUAUUCCGGGAGGUAUGCCUGUUCGAGCGUCAUUUGUACCCUCAAGCUCUGCUUGGUGUUGGGUGUUUGUUCCGCCUCUGUGUGUGAACUCGCCUCAAAACAAUUGGCAGCCGGCGUACUUGUUUCGGAGCGCAGCACAUUUUGCGAUCCAGAUCAACGUACAGCGGCAUCCAAGAAGCCUUAUUUAACGCUCUUGACCUCGGAUCAGGUAGGGAUACCCGCUGAACUUAAGCAUAUCAAUAAGCGGAGGA